AUGCAUUGCAGGUAUUACGAGGGCAACUGUUCUAUGGCCGGGGGCUUCACCACCAUGGUCGACGUUCGCGAGCGGAGCCUCACCCUUUUCCCCGGGCAGUUUUAUCCGCUUCACCCCAUCUAUUUCUUCGACGGCAACAAGAUGUUCUGCCUGAGCCUAGGCAGCUUCAAGAUGCUUGUCUGGGACAGGGACCCCCCGCUGGGUUCUUCUCACGGCGUGGAGAGCCCGUGGAAACAGCUCCCGGAACCGCCAUUUCAGUGUUAUGACGUCACCUCCUACGUCAUGCAGCCCCGGUCACGGGCCUUCGUCGUCAGCACCAAGAUAGACGACACUAAGGCCACCUUCGCCUUUGACACCGUGGAACUUUCAUGGAAACGACUUGGCAGCUGGGCGCUGCCCUUCGAUGGCCGUGGUCACUUUGACCAGCACCUCAACGCCUUUGUUGGGCUCUCCAAAGAACCGAACACCCUCGGCCAACUCUAUUUUUGUUAUGUGCCCAUCGAUGGCACUAGCCCCAGGCUUUCUUCGAAACUCGGUGAGGAGAAGCUCUUUAGCCAGGAUCCAGCCGAGAGGCAUGUAAGCGCGACCCUCAUCUACAUAGGAACGGGUGAGAGCAAACCCAGCAAAUUCUGCCUCGUACAAUGCGUCUUCAUUGAGGGCGACAGCAGCGCUGGUCAGGAGCUCAAGGAGAAGGGACGCUUUCUGUAUCGCUUGACCAUAUUCUGUCUCUAUCCUGACUGCAUUGGAGGCCUGACGACAGGCAAUAGCCAGCGGGUGCAAUACUAUGAAGUGCCUGAAGGAACGUCUCAGCGAUUCCUCGCUGAAGACCCCAUGGCAUUUGGAAUGUAA
rnacentral:rRNA from 1 species